UACAGAGGUCUCAAGCGUUGUUCGGAUUCAUUGGGCGUAAAGGGUGCGUAGGUGGCGCCGUAAGUCAGGUGUGAAAUUUCGGAGCUUAACUCCGAAACUGCAUUUGAUACUGCGGUGCUUGAGGACUGGAGAGGAGACUGGAAUUUACGGUGUAGCAGUGAAAUGCGUAGAGAUCGUAAGGAACACCGGUGGCGAAGGCGGGUCUCUGGGCCGAAAUUGACGCUGAGGAGCGAAAGCGUGGGGAGCAAACAGG
rnacentral:rRNA from 1 species